UACGGAAGGGGCUAGCGUUGUUCGGAAUUACUGGGCGUAAAGAGCGCGUAGGCGGCUUACCAAGUUGGGGGUGAAAUCCCGGAGCUCAACUCCGGAACCGCCUUCAAAACUGGUAGGCUCGAGUCCGGAAGAGGGGCGUGGAAUUCCCAGUGUAGAGGUGAAAUUCGUAGAUAUUGGGAAGAACACCGGUGGCGAAGGCUGCGCCCUGGUCCGGUACUGACCCUGCGGCGCGAAAGCGUGGGGACCAAACAGG
rnacentral:rRNA from 1 species